CUUUAGACACAGCCCAGCCCUUGGCCCGAGUCUGCUUCUCUGGCCUGUGGUCCUAAUUCAGCCGAGGGGCUUCAGCUGGGGGGGGGGGGGGUCCAUUUGGGAGGGAGCAGGUGUUUCCUCUCCCCAGGUCCGCCACAUCUUUCUUCAUUUACCAGCACGUUUUGCUUCUGUUCAACAACAGGCACCAGGCAGGCGGCUGUCUCACGCGUGGCCCUGCCCUCCCCUUUGUCCCUCAUAAAGACACCAGCCACAUGACCUCAAAUGUUUCCUGGAGAGAGCAACUGCCUUUUCUAGGAACCUGCUUUAAUCUCCUUGCUCUCCAGCGGCUCUCCCACGACCUGUGGAUGGCUAGUUGGCUGCAAGAGGGCUCGACACUCACCUUCCUGAGAUGUGAUGAGCUUUCCUUCCGGAGGCCAGUGCUCGUAAGUGCAAAGUGCACGCGUAGGUCAUUGGUGAGGAAGCUGCUUCUCCCUAAAGAUUGUUCUUUGAUUUUAAAAAUAGUCUUUCCUAAUUCACAUGAAGAAAUAAGACAUCCUCUCCAACAUUUUAAAAACGAAUUUAACUGUUUCAUCGGGACUCAG
rnacentral:lncRNA from 1 species